GUGCUCUCAUAGCACAUAUAUAAAAAAAAUCAGAAUGAUACUGAGAAGAUUAGCAUGACUCCAGCACAAGAAUGACACAUAAACUCAUGAAGCGUUCCAUAUUUUU
rnacentral:snRNA from 1 species